GAGUUUGAUCAUGGCUCAGAUUGAACGCUGGCGGCAGGCUUAACACAUGCAAGUCGAGCGGGGGAAGGUAGCUUGCUACCGGACCUAGCGGUGGACGGGUGAGUAAUGCUUAGGAAUCUGCCUAUUAGUGGGGGACAACAUCUCGAAAGGGAUGCUAAUACCGCAUACGUCCUACGGGAGAAAGCAGGGGAUCUUCGGACCUUGCGCUAAUAGAUGAGCCUAAGUCGGAUUAGCUAGUUGGUGGGGUAAAGGCCUACCAAGGCGACGAUCUGUAGCGGGUCUGAGAGGAUGAUCCGCCACACUGGGACUGAGACACGGCCCAGACUCCUACGGGAGGCAGCAGUGGGGAAUAUUGGACAAUGGGCGCAAGCCUGAUCCAGCCAUGCCGCGUGUGUGAAGAAGGCCUUAUGGUUGUAAAGCACUUUAAGCGAGGAGGAGGCUACUUUAGAUAAUACCUAGAGAUAGUGGACGUUACUCGCAGAAUAAGCACCGGCUAACUCUGUGCCAGCAGCCGCGGUAAUACAGAGGGUGCAAGCGUUAAUCGGAUUUACUGGGCGUAAAGCGCGCGUAGGCGGCUAAUUAAGUCAAAUGUGAAAUCCCCGAGCUUAACUUGGGAAUUGCAUUCGAUACUGGUUAGCUAGAGUGUGGGAGAGGAUGGUAGAAUUCCAGGUGUAGCGGUGAAAUGCGUAGAGAUCUGGAGGAAUACCGAUGGCGAAGGCAGCCAUCUGGCCUAACACUGACGCUGAGGUGCGAAAGCAUGGGGAGCAAACAGGAUUAGAUACCCUGGUAGUCCAUGCCGUAAACGAUGUCUACUAGCCGUUGGGGCCUUUGAGGCUUUAGUGGCGCAGCUAACGCGAUAAGUAGACCGCCUGGGGAGUACGGUCGCAAGACUAAAACUCAAAUGAAUUGACGGGGGCCCGCACAAGCGGUGGAGCAUGUGGUUUAAUUCGAUGCAACGCGAAGAACCUUACCUGGCCUUGACAUAGUAAGAACUUUCCAGAGAUGGAUUGGUGCCUUCGGGAACUUACAUACAGGUGCUGCAUGGCUGUCGUCAGCUCGUGUCGUGAGAUGUUGGGUUAAGUCCCGCAACGAGCGCAACCCUUUUCCUUAUUUGCCAGCGAGUAAUGUCGGGAACUUUAAGGAUACUGCCAGUGACAAACUGGAGGAAGGCGGGGACGACGUCAAGUCAUCAUGGCCCUUACGGCCAGGGCUACACACGUGCUACAAUGGUCGGUACAAAGGGUUGCUACACAGCGAUGUGAUGCUAAUCUCAAAAAGCCGAUCGUAGUCCGGAUUGGAGUCUGCAACUCGACUCCAUGAAGUCGGAAUCGCUAGUAAUCGCGGAUCAGAAUGCCGCGGUGAAUACGUUCCCGGGCCUUGUACACACCGCCCGUCACACCAUGGGAGUUUGUUGCACCAGAAGUAGCUAGCCUAACUGCAAAGAGGGCGGUUACCACGGUGUGGCCGAUGACUGGGGUGAAGUCGUAACAAGGUAGCCGUAGGGGAACCUGCGGCUGGAUCACC
rnacentral:rRNA from 1 species